CCUCCUAAAAGGUAACGGAGGCGUACAAAGGUUUCCUCAAAUCGGUCAGACAUCGAUUGUAGAGCGUAAAGGCAUAUGGAAGCUUAACUGCGAGACCUACAAGUCGAGCAGAGACGAAAGUCGGUCUUAGUGAUCUGGCGGUAUUACGUGGAAAAGCCGCCACUCAACGGAUAAAAGUUACUCUAGGGAUAACAGGCUAAUCUCCCCCAAGAGUUCACAUCGACGGGGAGGUUUGGCACCUCGAUGUCGGCUC
rnacentral:rRNA from 1 species